rnacentral:rRNA from 1 species
UGACGGCGCGAGCAGGUGCGAAAGCAGGUCAUAGUGAUCCGGUGGUUCUGAAUGGAAGGGCCAUCGCUCAACGGAUAAAAGGUACUCCGGGGAUAACAGGCUGAUACCGCCCAAGAGUUCAUAUCGACGGCGGUGUUUGGCACCUCGAUGUCGGCUCAUCACAUCCUGGGGCUGAAGUAGGUCCCAAGGGUAUGGCUGUUCGCCAUUUAAAGUGGUACGCGAGCUGGGUUUAGAACGUCGUGAGACAGUUCGGUCCCUAUCUGCCGUGGGCGCUGGAGAACUGAGGGGGGCUGCUCCUAGUACGAGAGGACCGGAGUGGACGCAUCACUGGUGUUCGGGUUGUCAUGCCAAUGGCACUGCCCGGUAGCUAAAUGCGGAAGAGAUAAGUGCUGAAAGCAUCUAAGCACGAAACUUGCCCCGAGAUGAGUUCUCCCUGAGACUUAGAGUCUCCUGAAGGAACGUUGAAGACGACGACGUUG